rnacentral:rRNA from 1 species
GACGAACGCUGGCGGCGUGCCUAAUACAUGCAAGUAGAACGCAGUUGCGAACGGGUGAGUAACGGGUAGGUAACUGCCUCAUCGCGGGGGAUAAAUGUUGGAAACGAAAGCUAAUACCGCAUACUGUGAGAUGGCCCUGAGUUGUAUUAGCUAGUUGGUGAUGUAAAGGCUCAACAAGGGGACGAUACAUAGCCGACCUGAGAGGGUUGCCGGCCAGACUUGGACUGAGACACGGCCAAGACUCCUACGGGAGGCAGCAGUAGGGAAGCUUCGGAAAUGGACGGAAGUCUGACCGAGCAACGCCGCGUGAGUGAAGAAGGUUUUCGUAUCGUAAAGCUCUGUUGUUAGAGAAGCGGUGACUAACCAGAAAGGGACGGCUAACUACGUGCCAGCAGCCGCGGUAAUAC